CUUGUAAUUCUGUUUUUUGCGGGAACGGAAAGUGCGUGGUAAAUGGUACUAGCUACUACUGCCAAUGUGACCAAGGGUACGCCAAUUUGUUCGGUAAAUCUACAGAUGCUUGUUUUGAACAAUGCUACUUUGGAGCAGAUUGUAAAGACCUUGGAUUAGGGCCGGCACCACCUCCCAGUACUAGUUCUGCAGGCACACCGAAAACUGG